GGGCUCGGUCAGAGACCAGCCACAGAAAAGGUGGUGGUGAAGAUGGAGGCCCCAGAGAAAAAGAGGCUGGGGCAGAGAGGCCCUACUGAAAUGAGGGAACCCACAUAGGAGCCAGGAGGGCCCAUGUGGGAACCCAAACAGAAGUAGGAACCCACGUAGGACCAGGGUGUUCUACAGUGGGAACCCAGACCCUACAGCUGGGAAGCAGCUGGCUCCAGACUUUGGAGGGCCUGCGAGAGGAAAGGGAUGCCCUGCAGGGCCCACUACGAAGGAAGCUGGGGUGAUAGGGACCCCUUUCCUCCCCUCCCCCGUGAGCAUUUUUAAGGGGGAGGGUUUGUGGUGGGACGGCUGCCCCACCCCCAUGUGAGAGGGAACUAGAGUAGGCCAGAAUGGCUGACGGCUUGCACAGCCAAUCAGGGCUAGGCUAGGCCCUAUAUAAUGGCUGCCCAGGAGAGCAGCAGGUAGUCAGUCUGGCCCAGAAUUUCAUGGGGAAAGGUCUGUCUCCAGAGCAGGAGACCAGCAUCUCGGGCUGGGCAGUACUGCCUCUGGCCAUCUGGUGGCUGAGACAAAUUGUAACCGGCCCUUGAGACAAGGGGCUAGACUUUGGUGGUUGCGGUUGGCCACCGAGGCAGGUGCAAGGACUGUUGCUAACCCCUGCCCCCUGGAAUGGGGUGAGGAUGGACUAGUGGGCACUGCUGGAGGGGCAGUAGGCUGAAGGACACUGUCAAGCGGUGAGCAACGCGGCUCCAGAUGCCAACGGUGGACAAGAGACGGAUGGGAUGCUGCCAGCAGAGGGCGUUCUCCAUCGACUGAGCUAAUUCCCAGAGCGACCAGCGGGAGGCGCCAUGCUGCUGUCUUUCAGGCCCUGGGAUCUGGCACAGCCUCCCAGACGGGCGCUUCCUGUAGCUGAGCCACGUGAGGGAGCAGUGGGGACAGGUCACCUCGUCCCAGCAAUGCCAGCUCUCGAAGAGGCUUAGAAGGAAGACCCCAGUCCCUCAUGGAGAGGCUGUGUCCAGGAUCCUGGAGACUGUUUCCUGCUGCAGGAGGUUUGAGCGGGGAGAGAUCACUCACUGUCACGACCCAGGGGUCUCCGACCCAGGUCUGCAGGGUUCAUGGGAGCAGCCACACUCCAACCCUCCACCUGGAAGCCUGCUGAAAAUUGCUUACCUCAGACCCAUGAAGUUCAGCCCCAGUUUGAGGCUCCACUCCUGAGGUCGUAUUGGAAGCGUCCCAGGAAAGCUCACUCGCCUCCUGGCCCUGCGUAAGACAGCAGCAGGAACAUGAAGCUGACUGAACACCAGGCCUGCUCCCUGUUCUGGACCGUGUGCUGACUGGUUCUGCUGCCGCUCCCCUGGCUUAAUUUCCUGGCAUCUGAGUUGUGGUGGUGAUUGCACGUUUGUCUUUUGCUGCUGAUCUUCCAAUGACCUGGCUGACUCUCCACUCCUGUCAUGGCUCCCCAUCCAUCCUGGAGCUGAACACCAGAUGGGAGCUGAUGGAUUGUCCUUGGUGGGCCAUGCUCUUGUGUGUGGUGAGAGGGCCAGGAGCAGAUGCACCACGCCUGGCCAGGACUGGGCUAAACAGCCUGUAAUGCUAGACAGUCAGCCCGUGAGGCCAGUUUGCAGAAUGUGGAAGAGCCCUUUGGCGAGGCGUUGGAGGAUUCACCAUGAAGGUGGCAGCAGCGGCAGUGCCUGGGGUCCCCAUGGGCCAAGCCUCUACUCCUGCCAAUCCAGGCUAAUCUCCCGCUGCUCUCAGUGGGGCUUGGCUUUAGCUGCUGGGCCUGUGAGCCUAGCCCAGGGGUCUCAAACACAAAUGACCAUGAGGGCUGCAUGAGGACUAGUUCAUUGGCCCGAGGGCCGCAUCACUGACACCCCCCCCUCGCUGCCCCCGGCCCUGCCCCCAGAGGGGGCAGGAGGGGUGUGGCAGGGGCUCAGGGCAGGGAGUUGGAGGGGUGCGGCAGGGAGUGCAGGGUACAGUAGGGGGCUCUGGGCAGAGGGUUGGGGUGCAGAAAGGGUGAGGGAUGCAGAAGGGGGCUCAGGAUAGGAAGCUAGGGUGCAGGAAGGAUGUGGGAUGCGGCAGGAGGCUGAGGGCAGGGAGUUGGGGUGCAG